AUACGUAGGGUGCGAGCGUUGUCCGGAAUGAUUGGGCGUAAAGGGCGCGUAGGCGGCGCGGUAAGUCUGGAGUGAAAGUCCUGCUUUCAAGGUGGGAACUGCUUUGGAUACUGCCGCGCUUGAGUGCAGGAGAGGUUAUCGGAAUUCCCUGUGUAGCGGUGAAAUGCGUAGAGAUUGGGAGGAACACCAGUGGCGAAGGCGACUUACUUGACUGUAACUGACGCUGAGGCGCGAAAGUGUGGGGAGCAAACAGGAUUAGAUUCCCUGGUAGUCCACACUGUAAACGAUGAAUGCUAGGUGUAGGGGGUAUCGACCCCUUCUGUGCCGCAGUCAACACAAUAAGCAUUCCGCCUGGGGAGUACGGCCGCAAGGUUGAAACUCAAAUGAAUUGGCGGGG
rnacentral:rRNA from 1 species